rnacentral:rRNA from 1 species
UUACACAUGCAAGUCGAACGGCAGCACGGACUUCGGUCUGGUGGCGAGUGGCGAACGGGUGAGUAAUACAUCGGAACGUGCCUAGUAGUGGGGGAUAACUACUCGAAAGAGUGGCUAAUACCGCAUGAGAUCUACGGAUGAAAGCAGGGGAUCGCAAGACCUUGUGCUACUAGAGCGGCUGAUGGCAGAUUAGGUAGUUGGUGGGAUAAAAGCUUACCAAGCCGACGAUCUGUAGCUGGUCUGAGAGGACGAUCAGCCACACUGGGACUGAGACACGGCCCAGACUCCUACGGGAGGCAGCAGUGGGGAAUUUUGGACAAUGGGCGCAAGCCUGAUCCAGCAAUGCCGCGUGCAGGAUGAAGGCCUUCGGGUUGUAAACUGCUUUUGUACGGAACGAAAAGCUUCGGGCUAAUACCCUGGAGUCAUGACGGUACCGUAAGAAUAAGCACCGGCUAACUACGUGCCAGCAGC